rnacentral:lncRNA from 1 species
GUUCUUUCAAACCACAAUUCCAGAAAAUCCACCUCUGCCCAGAAUUAUCUCGUGGCCAUAACUCCCAUUUUACGCACUCAAAUUAAGUGAUUCUUGAGCCUAAAUUGAAUUUCAAAACGAGACCUCUCACCUCGUUUUGGAAUCACCUCAUUUGGAGCCCUGUAGCUUCAGUUAUUGCCAUUUCUAUAUUUCUGUCCAGCCACCACUUA